rnacentral:rRNA from 1 species
GACGAACGCUGGCGGCGUGCUUAACACAUGCAAGUCGAGCGGUAAGGCCCUUUCGGGGUACGACGAGCGGCGAACGGUGAGUAACACGUGGGUGACCUCGCCCUCCAGCUCUGGGAGUAAGCCUGGGAAACCGGGUCUAAUACCGGAUAUGACUCCAUGACGCAUGUUGUGGGUGGAAAGCCUUGUGCGGCUGAGGAUGGGCCCGCGGCCUAUCAGCUUGUUGGUGGGGUGAUGGCCUACCAAGGCGACGACGGUAGCCGGCCUGAGAGGGCGACCGGCCACACUGGGACUGAGACACGGCCCAGACUCCUACGGGAGGCAGCAGUAAGGAAUAUUGCGCAAUGGGCGAAAGCCUGACGCAGCGACGCCGCGU